GACGAACGCUGGCGGCGUGCUUAACACAUGCAAGUCGAACGGAAAGGCCCUGCUUUUGUGGGGUGCUCGAGUGGCGAACGGGUGAGUAACACGUGAGUAACCUGCCCUUGACUUUGGGAUAACUUCAGGAAACUGGGGCUAAUACCGGAUAGGAGCUCCUGCUGCAUGGUGGGGGUUGGAAAGUUUCGGCGGUUGGGGAUGGACUCGCGGCUUAUCAGCUUGUUGGUGGGGUAGUGGCUUACCAAGGCUUUGACGGGUAGCCGGCCUGAGAGGGUGACCGGCCACAUUGGGACUGAGAUACGGCCCAGACUCCUACGGGAGGCAGCAGUGGGGAAUAUUGCACAAUGGGAGGAAGCCUGAUGCAGCAACGCCGCGUGCGGGAUGACGGCCUUCGGGUUGUAAACCGCUUUAGCCUGUGACGAAGCGUGAGUGACGGUAAUGGGUAAAGAAGCACCGGCUAACUACGUG
rnacentral:rRNA from 1 species